AAAUAAGAAGCAAAUUUUUGUAUUUAGUUUCGACCUAAAAUCUUGAUGGAAACCAUCCUUAUUUU
rnacentral:tRNA from 1 species